rnacentral:rRNA from 1 species
GUCGUGGCAGCCUGCUGUGCCGUGGCUUCCGCGCAGACCAAGUUCGGCAAGCUCGUCAUCACCGGCGUCGUGCCCUGCAACACCGGCACCCUCAUCGACGUCGCCACUUCUCCGGCAUUUCCAGACGCGAACGUGGAGCUGCGGUGCGGCGGCAACGUGGUGGCCGGCGCCAAGACGAGCCAGAACGGGUCGUUCGCGAUGGAGGCAGACAUGACCAACGCGCUGGCGGCGUUUGUGGGCGCCUGCGAGCUGGUGGUGGACACGCCGCUGGUAAAAUGCGACGGGAAGCUGCCGGCGGCGGGGGCGCUGGUGUCCUACCUGCAGGGCCCGCUCACUAGGCUGCUCAGCGGCAUCUUCCAGCUCGCCCCCGCCGGCUUCUCCUUCCGUAUGAGCUGA